rnacentral:rRNA from 1 species
UACGGAAGGCAGCAGUGGGGAAUAUUGCACAAUGGGCGCAAGCCUGAUGCAGCCAUGCCGCGUGUAUGAAGAAGGCCUUCGGGUUGUAAAGUACUUUCAGUCGUGAGGAAGGUGUUAAGGUUAAUAACCUUAGCAAUUGACGUUAGCGACGGAAGAAGCACCGGCUAACUCCGUGCCAGCAGCCGCGGUAAUACGGAGGGUGCGAGCGUUAAUCGGAAUUACUGGGCGUAAAGGGCACGCAGGCGGUUAAUUAAGUUGGAUGUGAAAUCCCCGGGCUUAACCUGGGAAUGGCAUUCAAGCUGGUUAGCUAGAGUCUUGUAGAGGGGGUAGAAUUCCAUGUGUAGCGGUGAAAUGCGUAGAGAUGUGGAGGAAUACCGGUGGCGAAGGCGGCCCCUGGACAAAGACUGACGCUCAUGUGCGAAAGCGUGGGGAGCAAACAGGGAUUAGAUACC